UUUGGCACUUAAGAAUUCCACU
rnacentral:miRNA from 1 species